rnacentral:rRNA from 1 species
GACGAACGCUGGCGGCGUGCCUAAUACAUGCAAGUAGAACGCUGAAGGAGGAGCUUGCUCUUCUGGAUGAGUUGCGAACGGGUGAGUAACGCGUAGGUAACCUGCCUGGUAGCGGGGGAUAACUAUUGGAAACGAUAGCUAAUACCGCAUAACAGUAGAUGUUGCAUGACAUUUGCUUAAAAGGUGCAAUUGCAUCACUACCAGAUGGACCUGCGUUGUAUUAGCUAGUUGGUGGGGUAACGGCUCACCAAGGCGACGAUACAUAGCCGACCUGAGAGGGUGAGCGGCCACACUGGGACUGAGACACGGCCCAGACUCCUACGGGAGGCAGCAGUAGGGAAUCUUCGGCAAUGGACGGAAGUCUGACCGAGCAACGCCGCGUGAGUGAAGAAGGUUUUCGGAUCGUAAAGCUCUGUUGUAAGAGAAGAACGAGUGUGAGAGUGGAAAGUUCACACUGUGACGGUAGCUUACCAGAAAGGGACGGCUAACUACGUG